rnacentral:snoRNA from 1 species
GGGCAGCGAUGAGCGCGAGGGACGAUGCCGGGCAGACAGGGCUUGGCCUCCGGGGCCGCUCGAGGAAAGCCGAUAACGGCUGACGAUGAAGGCGGUGGGAUAUGCCAAGCCCAUACUUUUUAAGUUUUUCCU